AAUGAUAUUUUACUCUGUUAUAUUUUAAACUGCAUCUUUAGCUAGUAACCUUCGCUGCCACGAAACCGUCUAAUCUGCUCGAAGGUCAUCCAGAACACCACGGAGGCAGGUCCGACACGCAUCCAAUAUGGAAUGAAUCCCUUGUACAUGGCCAAAAAGCCCUCCUCUCUAACCAACCUACUUAAGCAAUCCAGGGAGCCCUUGUAAUGAAUGCCGCGUCCCUGCUCAUCGGUUGGCUGAUUCAUGAUCCGGGACUUGACCACGUCCGCUGGCAAGCUCAGAAUGGCAUCCGCUACGCCGGCGGUCAUGGCGGCUACGAACUGCACUUCUCGGUUAUCCACCAGAUCGAACUCGGCAAUCAGAAAGCGUUUGCAAAAGUCAUAGCAGCUGACGUCCCCUUUAGAAGGAAGGGGUGAUAUUGAACAUAUCUGAACCUGACUGAUCCAAUCCCGAUUUUAAGGCUCACCUAUGGUCACGAGUGCCGAGCGCCAUGUGUUUGGAACAGUUCCCUUCCAGAGACCCACCACACCACCCGUUCUGUAAAUGGAAGUCAGGGCCUGGAGCACAUUGUGAAUGCGUGGAGGCUCGCCCCUUAGACGCCGCUGUCCCUCCAUUUGCAUUUGGAUCUUAAUCAGCUCGGUGGGAUUCGUUAGUACGCUGGCAGUUGCGCCGGCUAAGACGCCACUGAUGCAGGAUCCCAGGAAGGAUAGCUGCGGCCUGCCGUCCUCGUCGGGCACGAUCAUCUUCUCACGCAUAUAGUCGUAGGUCAGCAUUUUGAUGCCACUGAAGAGCGAGUGGCGGAACAGCAUGGCGGAUAUGCCACCGUAGAGCUUCAGCAGACCCUCCUCCCUGACGAUGCCCAUGGCAGUGGCCAGCAGACCUCGGUACUUGGCCUUCUGACCCACCCUGCUCGCGAUCUCGCCCUGGAUCUGCAUUCGGGUCUUGCACAUAUCGAAGGGAUAGCCCACAAUCUCGGCACUGCAGGCGGAGGCGAAUGCCGUGAGGUAGAGUUCAACCGGCGGAGUCUUCUUGUUGGUCACCAAGUACUCCAACUUGGGUCUUUCCUUCUCCUCCGAAUUGUCCCAUUCUGCUGGCCUAAAGACUGUGUUAACGCCUUUUCCCAUUUAAGAGAAAUAUCUUGAGUGUUUGUUGUGUGCAUUGGAAUAU
ensembl:ncRNA asRNA:CR43465 antisense RNA:CR43465